rnacentral:rRNA from 1 species
CGAAGUCGGAAUCGCUAGUAAUCGCGGAUCAGCAUGCCGCGGUGAAUACGUUCCCGGCCUUGUACACACCGCCCGUCACACCAUGGGAGUUUGUAACGCCCAAAGUCGGUGGCCUAACCUUUAUGGAGGGAGCCGCCUAAGGCGGGACAGAUGACUGGGGUGAAGUCGUAACAAGGUACC